rnacentral:tRNA from 1 species
UCCCUGGUGGCUCAGACAGUAAAGCAUCUGCCUGCAAAGUGGCAGACCCGGGAUCGAUUCCUGGGUUGGGAA